UGUCCUUAAAGGCCUUCGUGGUACUUAGUGAUGACUCACUGUAAAUUUUCUGUUCAGACUUAAAGCAUGCUGCAAUUAAUUCAUUUAAAAAGUUUUAUUGUUUAAUGCGUGCUUCUGUUAUGCAGGAGAAAUUCAAAUGGAGUAAAGAAGUGACCAACGGUAAACCACCAAGUGUCAGUUUCACCACAGUUCACACCUUCAUCAUGUGACAGAGACACGUCUGAUGUCAGCCAGACAUUUCAAGUAGAGAAAGCGUC